rnacentral:lncRNA from 1 species
CAAAACAGUGACGCAGCAGUGUGUUACCUGCCGACAGCAUAAUGUGAGGCAAGGUCUAGCUGUUCCCCCCCGGCAUACAAGCUUAUAGAGCAGCCUCCUUUGAAGAUCUCCAGGUGGACUUCACAGAGAUGCCAAAGUGUGGAGGUAACAAGUGUUCGAGUGUGGAUCAAGGACUGGAACGUAGCCUCUUUGUGCCCAUGGUGGAAAGGACCCCAGACUGUCGUCCUGAUCACUCCCACUGCUGUGAACGUAGAGAGAAUCCUAGCCUGGAUCCAUCACAACCGUGUAAAACCUGCAGCGCCUGAAUCCUGGGAGGCAAGACCAAGUCUGGACAACCCCUGCAGAGUGACCCUGAAGAAGAUGACAAGCCCUGCUCCAGUCACACCCAGAAGCUGACUGGUCCACGCACAGCCGAAGCAUGAGGAAGCUCAUUGUGGGCUUCAUUUUUCUUAAAUUUUGGACUUACAGUAAGGGCUUCAACUGUUCUUACUCAAACUGGGGACUAUUCCCAGUGUAUUCAUCAGGUCAGUGAGGUAGGACAGCAAAUGAAAACAAUCUUUCUGUUCUAUAGUUAUUAUCAAUGUAUGGGAACGUUAAAAGAGACUUGUUUGUAUAAUGCCACUCAGUACAAGGUAUGUAGCCCAGGAAAUGACUGACCUGAUGUGUGUUAUAACCCAUCUGAGCCCCCUACAACCACCAGUUUUGAAAUAAGAUUAAGAACUGGCCUUUUCCUAGGUGAUACAAGUGAAAUAAUAACUAGAACAGAAGAAAAAGGAAUCCCCAAACAAGUAACUUUAAGAUUUGACGCUUGUGCAGCCAUUAAUAGUAACAAGCUAGGAACAGGAUGUGGUUCUCUUAACUGGGAAAGGAGCUACAGAGUAGAAAAUAAAUAUGUUUGUCAUGAGUCAGGGGUUUGUGAAAAUUGUGCCUUUUGGCCAUGUGUUAUUUAGGCUACUUGGAAAAAGAACAAAAAGGACUUGGUUCAUCUUCAGAAAGGGGAAGCCAACCCCUCCUGUGCUGCCAGUCACUGUAACCCACUAGAACUAAUAAUUACCAAUCCCCUAGAUCCCCAUUGGAAAAAGGGAGAAUGUGUAACCCUGGGGAUCAAAGGGACAGGGUUAAACCCCCAAGUUGCCAUUUUAGUUCAAGGGGAGGUCCACAAGCACUCUCCCAAACCAGUGUUUCAAACCUUUUAUGAGGAGUUAAAUCUGCCAGCACCAGAACUUCUGAAAAAGAUAAAAAAUUUGUUUCUCCAAUUAGCAGAAAAUGUAGCUCAUUCCCUUAAUGUUACUUCUUGUUAUAUAUGCGGGGGAACCACUAUCAGAGACCGAUGGCCUUGGGAAGCCUGAGAGUUGGUGCCCACUGAUCCAGCUCCUGAUAUAAUGGGGGCUUGUCCAGGAUCUCAUCAGGACUGGAUGGCUCUCGCUGGACUAUACUGGAUAUGUGGGCAGAGAGCCUACAUUCAGUUACCUAAUGAAUGGGCAGACAGUUGUGUUAUUGGCACUAUUAAGCCAUCCUUUUUCUUAUUACCGAUAAAAACUACUGGUACUAUCUGUAAAUUCCAGACAUUGUAUGAGAAAGCACUGUAAAACUUUUUGUUCUGUUAGCUGAUAUAUGUAGCCUCCAGUCACAUUCCUCAUGCUUACUUGAUCUAUCAUGACCCUUUCACGUGGACCCCUUAGAGUUGUAAGCCCUUAAAAGGGCUAGGAAUUUCUUUUUGGGGGAGCUUGGCUCUUAAGACAUGAGUCUGCCAAUGCUACCGGCCAAAUAAAAACCUCU